GAUCCCUAUUUCCAGGUGUUGAUUUUAGAAAGCUUUCAUUUUUUAAGAUAAUGGUGUUGCAAAAUAUUCUUGAAGGUUCUUUUUUUUUCAUUGUAGGGCCAGGGAAAUAAAAAUAGUGGAGAUAAUUUCCAUGCUGCCCCAAAUAUUGAUCAUUCACAAGAGUUCACCAGAGAAGAUAUUUGGUAAUGUUUAUGCUGGCUCAGGAAAGAGACUGGGUAUGAUGGAUGGAGGUUAGAUUGUGUACACUGUCACACCCCAAAAUAUCAGAGCAUUGGCGUGACUGGACUGGUAUCUUCAUUGCACAGCGGAAGUAUUUGAGCUAAGUCUUCUAAACAGUGAACGGCCGCUAAGUACUCGAAUUCCCAUGGGUUCUUCUAUUCCAACCGUUCCGUAGUUUGUAGAAUGCAACCUGAGAAAGAACAUGCGAAAAAUCAACAUAAAGUUGAGCGAGUUCAUAGUUUGUUUGUUUUGUAUCAAAUGCGUUUUAAAACACUU
rnacentral:lncRNA from 1 species